UUCAUUUCUCUUUGGCCUUUUUCUUCCAAAACGUUCAAAUCAAAAGCAAUUUGAAACACAGUGAAGAAGAGGAAAAUGGUGAUGUCAAAGGUGAAGUAUGAAGCUCUACGGCAGCAAAGAAUGGAGGAGAACAAGAAAAGAAUGGAAGAACUCCAUCUCCCUCUUCUCUCUCAAGCCCUCAAGAACGCCUCCUCUCCCAAAUCCUCUCCGAUGAAGAAGACGAAACCCCGCAUUGCAAGAACUGUGCUUGUCCCUGUCAGAAGAUCAGAGCGAUUUUCAAACAAAUCAGCUCCUCAGUACAAGGAGGUUACAUUUUAUGAGCGUGUGCAGCUGCCAAGAAGAGUAACGAAUAGGACGAGGGAUUUGUCAAACCGGGUAUACGCAUCAGAUGAAUCAAGAGAAUGUGCUAUAAAGAAAGCAGAGGCAUUGGAAUCAACUCUGGGCUCUGAUUACCCUACCUUUGUGAAAUCAAUGCUUCCCUCCCAUGUCAGUGGAUGCUUUUGGCUGGGUCUCUCAUCUGAUUUCUGCAAGAGGAAACUUCCAAGAAACGAUGGAGUGAUGUUGUUGGUAGAUGAACAAGGAGAAGAGUGGCCGGUGAUCUACCUAGCUCGAAAAACGGGACUUAGUGGUGGAUGGAAAAAGUUCUCUGUUGAUCACGACUUAGCUGAUGGUGAUGCACUCGUCUUCCAGUUAAUCCGAUCAACAGUUUUCAAGUCAGGUGUUUAUUAUAAGGGUCGAUAAUUCUGGGAAGACUGCCAAUGAGAAAACGGACAACAUACAAAGAACUGAACCGUGAAGGUGGUGAUAAUUUUUGGGGUAUAUUAGUUGGAGGAACAUUUUGGGGCCGCGAAUGCAAAAUUCAAAACUUGUGGUGGUGUUUUGUAAUUAGACUAGAAAUAGUGAUUUAUAUGUAAUUAAGCCAAGAUAUCGGCAUUAGGUCAAUUUGAUUCAAACAUUUAAUGUGGAACAUGUACGACGUAUGUAAUGAAUGUUGCUCUCAAAGUAUUAGCAUUCAUAACAUAUUAAGAUCUUUUCUUCAGUCUUAUCGAGAGCAUGAUAAAU